rnacentral:tRNA from 1 species
UCCCUGAUAGUCCAGUGGUUAGGACUUGGUGCUUUCACUGCCGAGGGCACCAGUUAAAUCCCUGGUUGGGGAA